UUCAAGUACUUGGAACUCAGUAUCACACCAUGCAUACCCGAAACUCCGUUUGAAAUUCCCGACGCCGACGACGAUGACGCCCCCGAAAUUCGCAUGUCGUCGCUCACCGGUGAUAUCGCCGUCGCAUGCUGAGGAGGGACCUCGCGCUCAUUCCCGUAGGAACCAUAGGCCGGCGGUUGUUGCGAAGAGAGGCUUAGGGAGAGACCCUGCUGGGAGCGUGGAGUAUCACGCGCCGCCGCAGUGGUAUCAAUUGAGCUCCAGAGAUUGUAGUGAGGGCGCUGGAUGAAGCCAGGAAGCCCUGGGAUCUCAUGGUGGGCGUGCACGGAUGGAGGACUGGGAUCCGAUGAGGCGGAGGGGGCAGUGGCCGAUAGUGGGAUGGAGACGAACUGCUGGGUCUGAGGCGGCGGCGCGUGGGAAAGGUUGGAGGGAGCGAGUGAAGCUGCGGCAGAAUUGAGGAAGACGAAAUUGGGGUGCAGCGGAGGGGGCGGUGGCGCGUCCGAGUAUCCAACGUAGGCAGGGUUCAUGAGAAUGAGAGUCUGUAACCCAUCAGCUUGGAUUUCUGAAUUCCCAUGAAAGUACGUCGCCAUCGAUUUUGAAUAAUAUUUCCUCUUUCUUGGAGUUUAUAUCACUGAAAAGGGACUACGUUCAUUAGGCUUCACAUCCAACACAACAAAUUCUCACUUUCUCUCUCCCUCUCUCCCUCCCUCCCUCUCUCUUUCCAAACAGAGAUAUAUAAAUACCUUUCACUUAUAAACACUUAUGUAUUGUAUGUACAUCUACAUAUAUAAAUAUACCUGGAGUGAUAAAUCUGGGUGUGAGAAUCAACCCAUUUGCUGCCUGAAUCAACUGGUUCGGAAUUGUGAAGCAACAACUGCAAGGGUCUUAUCAGGCAAAUCCUGGAAAAAUCAAGAGACAAGAAGACAAUGAUGAAAAAACCCACAAGGCCAAAUAGUCAAAACCUGCAUAAUUUUGAUUGGAAAAGGGUUUUAGAAGGACCCAUCUAGGUGCUCUUCUUCUUCUUCAUAUAUUCUAGCAACCAGAGCUUAAUAAAAAAGCUAGAAGAAGAAGAAGAAGGAAAAGGAAAAGGGUGCAGACUAUGAAGGCUUGUUGGUUUUAUAGAGAGAGAAGAGAGGUGAAAAGGAGAGAGAGAAGAAUUGAUUAUGGGCAUUAGUUAAUAUUAUUGGUACCUGGUGUGAUGGAAAUCUGAGUGUGCACGUGCUUCAUCAUCAUCGGCACUGCAAAGGAGAGAGAGACGGGGAAUUUUACUUACAGUGACACAAAACCCAUAUCAAACUUUUGAGAGAGAGAGAUGAUGAUGACGACCAAAAAAAAAAGGAAAAAACAGAAGACUAGUUAUAGCAGAUAAUACAUGAGAGAAAGGUGUAUAUAUACAUGAAAACAUAACACAAACACCGCACACCCACCUCUCUCCUCUCUAUGAUCUAUCUAUGGAUUUAUAAGAGCAGAGGUCUUCACUUAGGGGAAGCCCCUCUGUCAGGCUCAAGUCUCUGCAAAACUCUUACCUCAGCGCCCAAAAGGCCAAAACCCCAAAGAAAUAAAGAAAAAGAAGGGGUUAAAAAGUCUUAUAGCAGAAAAGAUGCCCAUCUUUACUCGGCUCAUUAUCCACACAUUUUUCUCCUUUUUCUUUUGCUUGGAGAGAAAAAAAACCCAAAAAAACUAAAAAACCAAUUCGAAAACAUAUAAAAGAAACAUACAGUGAAUUUGAUGAUCAUGACAUGCAUGUAAGCAUUAUGGUGUUUGGGGUUUGAAGAUAGGUGUGGGGUGCAUAGCAUAGGGGUUGUUGCCCUUCUCUAUCCCUUUCUUUUUAAGGCUUUUGGGGGAAGUACCUCGGAGUAGAUCAAAACAAGGGAAAUUCACUGAUUUGACGCUCCUUUUCAAAUCAUUUGAUGCAGUUGGGCAGCCCUUUGAUGAGAAACGAAGAACUUUUGAGGGCGAGAAAGAGAGAGAUGUGUGUCUAUGUGUGUGUUAAAAAUAAUGCCAUUUCAAAGUGUGUCAGAAGAAGAUACAAACAGCUGAAAAACGAGGAAACGUCUCCUUCCACCAAAGCUUAAUUUAAUGAAAAAGGAAGGCAAGGAAGAUGAUGAUCCACAACAGGUGGGGGGCUGUUGGGGGUGUGGAGGGGUGAGGGGGGUCCUAUCCUCCAAUAUGAAAUAUCUCCUUGUCUUUUAUUUUCUUUCCUUUUUCUCUCUUUUUCUAUUUUUUGUGGUUGGAUGCCACAGUUUGAAGAUAAAGCAAUUCAAUUGCUAAGGAACACUGAACCAACCACCCUAACACCUACUUUAAUGCUCUCAAAACCCUUCAAAUCUUUUUUUUGUCCAUGUAAUACUACUAUUUCUAUAUCUAUAUAUAUAUAUAUAUGUAUAUAUAUAUAUUUCAUUCUCAUUUACCAAUAUAUAAAGCUUCAUAUAUUUAUAUAAACUCAGAAAAAUAAUCAAGAGUGCCCAAUCAUAUGGGUCCUACUUUGGGAUCCCUUUCACUAAACCUACUACCAAAUUAUAAAAAAUUACACACGCCAACUUUACAUUGUUAUACCAUUUCAUUGUCCCUCCAUCUCUCCUUUCUCUUCUCACUCACCUACGUCAAUGCAAGGUGGGUCUAUCUUUGGUAUUGAAAAGCUAUUUUGCGUAGGAAUGCACUUAAGAUAUGAAUAUAUAAUCAAUAAUAUAAAAAUAUAUAUUUAAAAUAAUUAAAAAAAAAUCUUUUUUACCCAUUUUAUAUAACAUUUUCACAACCCCGUAUCAUAUCUUAAUCAAAGUAGUUGAUAGAUAUAACUUAGCCAUGUUUGUCAAAUAAUACCUUCCAAGCUUAUCAUUAAAUACACCCAACUGUUAAAAUUUGAAUUUUCUUUUCAUUGUAUCCAUGCAUGAUUGAAGAGAAGUACCAUGUCUUUGCACUACUGUACCAUUAACCGGAUUACAAGGACAGUUUCCUUUGAUGCAAGGCAAAUGACAAUAUUAAUUUCACUAUAUUAAAUGAAACUCCUGUGCCUGUGUACUAUUUUCUCUCCACCACCAAAAUCUUCCAUUAGUUCCAUCACCAUCAGGCUUCAGUAACAAAAUUUGUAAGAAGGCACGCAGCAGUGGGAAACUUUAAAGUCUUGGAUGUUAAUGGGGGCAAGUCUUACAACUCUAUCAACAUUAAUCUUCAUGAUGGUCAGGCAAAACCAACAAUGUGGUCGCUAGCCACUAGGAACUAGGAACUUAACUAUUAUUAAUUUAACAUAAAUAUUAGCUAUAUAUGACAAGGUCAGAUGAUCAACUGUUGUGAUCAGAUGGUCAACUGUCAUUCUCAAAACAGUAUCAAUGAUUUUCUGAGGCACCUCAUACUUGAAUUCCUAAGAAUCUCCUGUGAAAAUAACUAAUAAUAUACACAGGGGUUUUGCAUGGUAGUCUUUGAUGACUACUUACUUCCUUUAUCUUCGAAAGGCAGACAAAAUAACUAAUUUCACUGCUGAGCUUUUGGUGGUGAAAGGUACUGCCACUGCAGGAGGGCUGAUCCGUGUCUGAAGUACUUAAUUUCAUCAGACUCUUCAUCAAUGAACCGCAAAUAUUAAAUACAAGUUUGUGGCUUUUUUUUUUUCCUUUUUCUUUUUGAAGAUGGUGAUGAUGAGUUUGCUUUUGUUGCUAUCCCAUGGUUAUUUUCCACGUGAAAUUAUAUCAUCCAUGGGUUGUAAUAAUUACAAUAAAUUAUAUACCAUGUGGGUCUUGUAGGGAGCAUGAAUGGAUUAAUCUCUAAAUUACUUGAUUAUUUAACAAAGUUCAUAAAUUAUUAUUAUUAUUUUUAAUUGUUUGUAUUCAUGUUUCCAUUAUUCUUCCUUGAAGAUGAUUAUUUCAACAUAAUUUUAUUUCUCAUUUCAAUUUAGAUUAAUUAUUGUAUAUCAUCACCAUAUAUCACAAUAUUUGACCAAAAUUUUAUUAAAAGGUUCAUAUAAAACAAAAAUCAUUUUCUCAUUUGGCAUUGUUCUACUUAGAUUAAUUAUUCUAUAUCAUCACUUUAUGCUACAAUUUUUGGCCAAUCUUUUAUUUGAAAGUCCAAAUAAUUACAAAAUAGUGAUCAUCAUCAAAUUAGAUAGGAAGGUGUCCAACAAUUAAAAUCAAAGUUUCUUUCAUUGAUUUUCUCUUUUAAUAAAAUUAAUUUCAUUCACUCAAGGCCAUGUAGCGAGUAAAUUAAGGCCGUGUUUAUUUUUUUAAUUUAAUUAUAAAUAAAAAUUAAAAUUAAAUAGCAAUUAAUAGCGUUAAAUAUUAAAUUGUUUGUUUCAAUAAUUUUUUUUAUUAACUAUUAAAAGAUAAAAAUAAAAAAUAAAAAACAACCUUUCCUGUUUAGAAAAAAGUUAAAUAUUUUACAUUUUUCUAUUUGAUUAAAAAUUUAUAAUAAGUCAUGAAAAAAAAAUAAUAAUAAUUAAUAACUUAAAAUCUAAAUUACUUUCAAUAAAAAAAUUAAAAAAAAAAAAAACAAAUACUUGUACAAUAGUUGCUACCAUAAAAUUUUGAAUUGAGAUUGGCCCACCUUAAUUUUGGUGGCUCUAAGUUAAUUACUCUAAUGGAAUUAGAAAUUAAAUGAUUGGCCAAAUUUUCAUGAAAUUAAGACUUUUAGGUGGGACCAGAAAAAGUGGAUCGUAAUUAUACAUUUCUAUAUUCAUAUGGUAACCUCAAAUGCAAGUGAAAUUUUUUCCUUCUUUUGGAAGUUAAGGACAUAGUUGGUCAUUACUGAAUUAUUACUAAGGCUUUCUUUGGAUCUAACAACGAGAAAAGGGGAAAAAAAAACAAUCAAAUGAAAAACGAAUUUAUUUUACAUGGUGAGAAUGUCACCACAUCGAAUAAAGCAACCAAAUAUUUGCUAUUUUGUUGAUACUCACAUGAGAAUAUACUAUAGUUUUUAAUUCAAAAAUUUUCAAAAAAUUCAUAAUUAAUAUUAAUUAAAAAUUAUCUUUAUAAUUUAAUUUUUUUUUCUAAUUUCUUUUAUAAUCCUUGUACAUGGCCGUACUAAUGUGUUCCCUUAGUGGCAUGAGUUCUAAAUCCAAGUGUGUAAGUGCCCUAACAUCACAUCAAAGUAACCCAAACUUAAAAAUUCUCUAAUAUUACAUGUAAACAUUGUGAGUGGGCAUGGUCCCUGAUGUCCUCUUUCUAUUAUUUUCAGUUUUGUUAUUAUGGACUCUAGCUUGAUGCUUCACAUUCCAAUUUCUUUUCUCCAAGAAAAUGACUCCCAAGCGACAAAAACAUUGAAAAAGCUUCACCAUUUCAUACUUAAAAGUAAUGAUCAAUUGAAAGAUAAUUGUAAUCAUUUAUUUGGAAGAUAUCAGUAUCACAGCUCCUCCACAUUUAAAAAAAAAUUAUUAAUUAAUUUUUAUUUAGAUUUAUGAAAUAUAGGACUUCACCAGAAGUUAACAACUUUCAUGCAUAUUGAACUUUUUUUUUUCUCUAAAUUAUAAUUAAAUUCUUUUAAGAAAAUGAGGAAAAUUGAUGAAAAAGUUUUGAUUGAAAGUGUAAGGUCUUAAUCACUGAAUGGCUUGAUAAAAAAGCUUGAUAGGACCCAAAAGACAGAAAGCAAUAAUUAAUUGAAAGAUAAUCAAUAAUUAUUUUUGUAAUCAUUUAUUUGGUACUCUAUAUCUUACAUUUUUAACAAAACUACUAAUUAAUUAAAUUUAGUCAAAUGUGAUCUGAUUAUUUUAGUUUUUAUUUAAGAAUUUAGACCCAUGAAAUGUAUAACUUCACCAGAAGCAUCUUUCACAUUGAACUUUUUUUCUAAAUUGUAGAGUCUUUUAAUCAAAUGAGGUAUUUAAAUUGAUGAAAAGUAUUAAGGUCUUAAUCACUGAAGAGCUUAUUAAAAAAGCCUGACAAAAGUGCAUAUCAAUCAAUAUUAACAGUAUUCUAAUGUUUUAGGUUAGGGUUUCUGUCAAUUUAUGGGGGUGACCCACUUCUCCAUAGCCACCAUUGAAUUGUUGAGCCAUCUCUUCCAUGGACAACAGCCCAGAAUCCCCACCCAUGUACCAUAUAUACAUCAACUUUGUUAAGAUAUAAUUUGAAUUAAUUAGUAAAUGAGAUGGUGAUGAAGAAAAUUCAAAAAAAAAAAUGGUGGGGACAUUGAUCGAGAGACUUAGCCCAAGAUCCCAAAAAAGAGUUGAAAUAUUCAUGAAAUCUUAUCCUUCCUUUUCGGACGUCCAUCAUGAAGACUGAAGAGGUGACCCCAUGCAUCCAGAACACUGAAUGUACAGCAUGAAAUUAGCUUUUUAUCUUAGAAUUAUAAGGAUGGGAGGCAAAGGCUAUAGGCGAUAGCUGUAUGUUGGGGCUUGUUGACCACGCAGUAGAAAGAUGAGAAAGAUGGAGAAAGGGACGGAGAAGUUGCUUUCAGAGUAGGACCCCAAACGUUUAAUAGCUACAAAAGGUGGUGCAAUGGUUUGGGUGGAUUGGAGGUGUGAUUCUCCUUUCUUUCUUAGACACCCCGCUCAGGACGCAACCAUUAUUGUGUAAAGACAACACCCAAACACAAACCCCAAUUAAUAAUCCACUAGGCUCUUAACUAGGCGUUUUGUCGUAUUCUCCUCAUCUCUUAUCUUCUUCUUUACCUCAUUUUUUUUUUCUUUUCUUUCAUUCUUUUUGGAAGAGUUCCUCGUGGAUAUAUAGACUUAAAACUUUUUUUUUAUUUUUUAAUUUAAGUAUUAAGGUUAUUUAAAAAAAAACUUAAAAUUUAUUCUAAACAUCAAAUUGAUAUAUUUAUUUUUAUAAAUUAUAAUUAGUAUAAAAGAUGUCAAAUAACAAUGAAAAUUGUAGAGUAGCGAAAAAAAUUAUAAAGGUUACUAAGAUAAAUUAUUGUAAAAAAAUAAAACGAAGAUGUAAAUUUAAGAAUAAGUUAAUUAUAUUUACUUAUAACUUAAAAUUAUUUUUUAUUUUAAUUUAUGUCAUUAAAUUAUUUUAAAAAACAAACAAAAUCAAUUUACUUAAUGACUUAUAUUAAAUUAUUAAAUCAUUUUAAGUUAUUAAGUUGGUUUACCAAAUGCUUGCUCAAUGUCAUGUAAAUAAUGAAUUCUUACUCAUCACACAAUCAUUUGUAACCCAUGUUAAGUUGAAUAUCUAGAAAAUAUAAUUUUGUUUUUACUUAAUUUCUACUAUUAGUGUGAUUAAAGUGAGUUAAUUUUUUAUAUUUCUUCACCAACUUUGCUGAAUGUUCACCAUGUAAUUGUCCCUUUAACAUUUAAGAAGAAAAAUUAUAAUGUAUGUGAUUGUUUAUGUAGAAGAAUUAAUAAACACCACAAAACAUGCAAUUAAUUUUGAAAAAGUUAGAACCCUAACACUUGAAAUGUACUUCUCUAAAAAGUCUUUUAAGCCUAGGUAGCUUCUAUUUUUUGCUUGAGGUUGAAGCUCUCAAUUUAAAGCCAAAGUACUAAGUUUAAGGUAGCAAUGUUAAUAUUAUAAUAAGUUUUAUUAAAUAUUAAAUCUUGUUUGGAUUUAUUUUUGAGAAAUCUUAAGUUUUCCAUUUUAUAUUUUUAAAAGCUUAAUAAAAUUUUUUAUACCUGUUUGAUUAAUUUUGUAAGUUUUCAUACUUGUUCAAAAACUAUAUAAAUAUUUGUAUAUUUAAUAAAACUUUUAUAAUAUUAAUUUAAAAUUUAACUUUAUUUCAAUUUUAUAUUUAGUUAAAAUACAAAAAGAAAACAAAAGUGAUUGUAAAUCUAAUUUACAUAAGCCAACAUAAUUUUUUUCAUCAAGGGCAUUUUCAAAAGUUCAUGCUAAUUACUUAUUUUUGCUUUUAAAAUUUCUUAAUAAAAUUAGUUAAAAUGGUCCAAAUAUCUUUAUUAACUUAAAAAUUAAUUUUUUUUUUCUUUUAAAAAAAGUUGGCCUAUGAAAAGCCAAUAAUCAUUCCCUCAAUUAUUUAGUUGUCUUAAGGAUAAUUUAAAUCCAUACAUUAUGGGAGAUAGAUUGAAAGACUUGCACCUCUACAUGCCACAAAAAUUCCUUUUCUAUUUUAUUGAACAUUUAUAAUUUCAAAAUAAUUCAUUAAACAUUUUGACUUGCAAAGGUAUAUAUAUGAAGAUAUAUAUAUAUAUAUUGUCUUCUAUUACCCUUGGGUUACUAUUAGCUUUAAAUUUUCUUGCAACCUUAACCGCAAACAACCCCAUAUACCUUGUCCCAAAAAUAACUAUAUCAAUUAAUAUUCAUGUUUAAAUCAUUAAAUUAUCCCAACCCAUACGGGCCAUACCCACUUCUAUCAUUAUGUACUUUCUCCCUUUUGUAUUAUUCACCUAUCUUUUGUGAAAUAUAUGGACCAUUUGAGGGUUAAUCUUAAUAAAGUGUGUGUAUCUUUUCUAAAAUAUAAAGGUGGUAUUUUGAUAUUUUAAAAAUCAUUAUUUUUUAGACCCCUUGAUAGACCAAUAAAAUGUGAGUUUAAAUAUUGUUGAGGGGAAAUAAAUGAAUUAGUGUGUGAUUGUGGCUAAGUGGGCAACAAACAUUACCCAUAGAGUGGUUUAAAUCAUACCACUUGCCACUAUGAAACCCUAAUUUAUCAGACAACUUAUCACAUGACAACAAUGCAUGCAAUAACUUCUUUCUAGUUUCUUCUUUUCCGUGCCCUACUUCUUUCUAUUUUCUUCUUUUCCGUACCCUAUUUUAUAUAUAUAUAUAGAGAGAGAGAGAAAGAGAGAGAAAGAUCAAUUAGGGUAAGAGAAUAGAAAAUUUGGAAAUAAUAAUAAUAAUAAUAUAAAAAUAAUAGGGUACGGAACAGAAGAAUAUAUAUUCACAUAUGAACAAUGCGUGCAAUAACUUCACUUUCAAUUUUCAUCUUUCCGUACCCUAUUAUUUUUAUAUUAUUAUUAUUAUUUUUUAAAAAUUUUCUAUUCACCUACCCUAUUGUAUCGUACUCUCUCUCAAAAGUUAAGUUAUUAAAAACAUAAUAUCAUUGUAACUUGAAAAAGUUAAAACUUUCGUACAAACUAGCAUAUAUGCAUGCAACAUUAUUUACAAUGUUGAAAUACUCAUUUGUUUUUGAGUCUAUUGUCUUAAGAUUUUGUGUUUAGUUUGGAUGGAAAGACCGUAUUCAAUGGUGUAAAUAUUAUUUAUUUUGAAUUUAAAAGAACUUUCAUAAUUUUAAAAGUCAUCUACAAAAUUAAUGGAAUUUCAUAUUUAUAUAGUAUUAUGAACUUUCUUUCCAAUCUAAUAUAAGAUAUCAUUAUCAUCCCUUAUAUAAACACAAUAUUUUCGUUGUAUUUUAUAAAAUUAUGAAGUCUUACAAAUAGACACCCCUCAUAGGAUUAAACAAAUUUUUACAUUGGGUUUCAUGAUCAACUCUAAUACCAUUUAUAAUCAUGAUCCGUACCCCGAUUAUUUAGAUAUUGUUCAUUUUAGAUUUUUAAAAAUCCUUAUAACUUUAAAAUAUAUUUAUAAAAUUAAGUGGAAUUCAUAUUUAUAAAAUGUUAAACGUUUUUUUCAUUAAAUAUGAGAUAUGAUAUUGGAUACGUUGCAAAAAUGGGGAAAAUAUAAUAAAAUUUAUUUAAUAUAUAUAUAUAUAUAUAUAUAUAUAUAUAUAUAUGUAUUUAAAAAAAAAAUUAUUAUUAUUAUUAUUAUUAUUAUUUUCCGCUUGGUCUUCCUAUCUUCUUUGACUCGUACUUUGUAGAGCUAGGUAGACACUAUUGUAGUUAAUAAGUGAGAUAGGGAGGAUCCACAUAUUUAUAAAUGCAAGCUGCCCAACUUCCACCCUGACGUUAAGAAACUUGAACUUCCCAAACUAAUAAUGAAUUAAAACUUCAAUUCUUUCAAGCUAACAGUAAGUUGUCCCUACCUCUUAAUUAUCUACCUACACAUGUAUUUCAAAAGUGAUCUCCAAUUUCGACUUCUAAUGGUCUCUUGUAAAUUGUAAUUUUAAAUUUUACUUAAAUACCAAUUUUAUUAUAUACUAAAUGCGUAUAAGCAUAAUGAUAAAAAAAUAAAAAUAAAGAUAAAGUUAAGAUUUCAAAAAUCAAACCAAAAACAAUCACUAACUUCACAUAUUCUAUAUUUGUAGCCUUUCUUCUAAGCUUUCUUAUUGCAUUGUACUUAAAUAUUAAUGAUUAAUAUUUUAUAUCUAUUACGAGUUCAUAAAUUCUAAUACCACAUAAGAAGUUCGUUCAUAAUUAAAUUUCUUCAAUCAUAACAUCAAGAAUAGUGGACAUUGACCUUAUUCAGUAAUUUGGUUGAGGAAUAUAAAGUUUUGCUUCUUUGCGAAGGAUUACAACUUUUGACCUUAAUUUAUGUUACUAAAAAAAAAAAGUUUAUACAUUAUUAUGAUUCAACAAAAGUAAUGAUUGUAAGUACACUAAAAAAAAAUUAACGAUCUCAAUUUCUUUCUCAUAUAUGUAACUAACAUGCUUUCCACCUGUAAUUUCUUUACAAGUUUAAUUUGCAAUUGAAAAUAUUCCCACUAAAUACAAACGACUUCAUGUUAAUGCUAACACAACCGUUUCGUGUUACCUUCAACACAGCAUACAUGAAUAUUUGCAUUACCAAAUGUAUGAUCUCUCAUGUCCACUUCAUUGAUGACUUGUGUAUGAGUCCUAAUUUAAUAGUACAAAAUGAAUAGCAAUGUGGACUCUCUUGUAGUAGAUUGGAUCAAUUUAACACUUGGGCAUAGAAGUGGCAUGCAAAAGUCAUUCAUAUGCCCUAAUACAAAUAUUAAGCUGUCAGAAGUAUAUGCGAGUUUUAAUUAGAUGUAGCAUUAAUUAAGUUCAAGUUUCUUUUUGACUUAUUGUGAAUGAGUUUAUUUAUGUAUUUCUUGUUCGUGACAUAAAAGUUCCUUUUUUAAUUAUUAUAUCCAUGAUUCAUACACAAUUUGUAACAUUUGUAAUUUGUUUAGAGGAGUAUUUAUAUAGAAAUUACUUAUUUUAUUAUAUUUAUUAGGAUGUGUUUGAAAUGUAAGAAUAUGAAAGAAAAUAGGAUGAAAAUGAAAGUGAAUCAUAAUACAUUACCAAAAAGAUGAAUUAAUCAAAAUCCAAUUACGAGGGAAUUUUGAUUUCAUAAUAAUAAAUGUUUUAUUCAUAAUCUCAUUCUAAAAAAUAAUUUAAACAUAUUAAUACUCAUUUUCUAUAUCAAAGUUCCAAACGUUACUUAAUAAAAUAAUUCAAACAUAUUAAUAUUCAUUUUCUAUACCAGAGUUCCAAACGUGACUUAAUAAAUAAUUCAAACAGAUUAAUACUCAUUUUCUAUGUUAAAACUUCUUCGAGAUUAUCCUUGAAUCUUCACAAUUUUUUUGUAUGCAGCUGUUAGGUUUGACCCUAAUCCACCCAAUUGCUUGCUUCUACGUGCUUAAGAUGAUGAGAACAAGUUUGCCUUCUUUUCACCUACCUAUAUUUAUAUAGCUCCACUUUAAAUUUUUAAUUAUGUUGAAGUAAUUUUUAAUAUUUCUUAAUCAACAUUAAUGGUCUGAUUUUAAUAUUAUAUAAAUGAGUUUAGUACUCUUGACAUUUGUCAUUGAAUAGGCCCCACGAAAAAAAUUUAUAGAAUGAAAUAUGGAUAGUUUUGUAUAAUGUAUGCUUUAGAAUCUAUAGAAGUAUUAAGAAUUUUGUUAGGAAGAUAUCAUAGGGAAUAAUUUGCAAAUAUUGGUUUCACUUCAAGGAAAAAUAUUUCGGUUAUGUUUGGUUCCUGAUAAGUAUUAAGGAAAUAAAAAAAAUCUUAAAAAAGUUGUUUUCUUAUAUUGGUUUCAGUGUAAAAAAAAAAAAAAAAAAAUUCACAUAUAAUUAAAAUUUAUCAAAAAAUUAUAUAUUUUUAAAUUAUUUAAUCUUUAUAUAAUAUAGAAAAAUGAGUACAAUGAGUUUAGAUAAGUAUGUAAAAAUAAUUUAUUGAGUUUAAACUUAUUUUUAUUUUCCUUCCACUUUUCAUUUUUAUUUCAUUUUUCUUGUACUUUCCCCCAAAAUUUCCAAGAACCCAUAAAGUAGCGGAUGAUUCAAUUAUCACCGGGAUUUUCUCUUUGAUAGGUGAUAUCAAACUUUAAUAUUAGACAUUAAUAAUUUUUAAAAUUAUGUUUGGUUUUUGAAAAUUUUGAAAAAAAAAAUUAAAAAGGAAAAUUUUAAAAUUAAAUUAUAUGAGGAUUUUUUUUCCCAAAAAAAAAAUCAUUUUUUUUUUGUUAUUCAUGAAUUUUUUUUUUUGAAGAAAUAAGAAUUAAAUUGUUGAGUAAUUCACUUUCACCAAAUUUUAUUUACCUCUUUAAAAGAAAAAUAUUGACAAAAAUAUUUUAAUAUUUUUUGAAACAUUUUUCUUAUGUGUAUUUACCUUUUUUAAAAUAUUAUUUUAAGACACUUGAUAUUAUUGUGAUUUUCAUAUAUGAAUUUGAGUAUUAUUAAUUGAAGUUUUUUUUUUCUUUUUUUUCUUCUUUCCUCUCUUUUUUUUUUUUUUUUUGAUAUAUUAAUUUCUUUUAAAAAAAUUUUAAGUGGUGUGGUUUGAAUAUAUUUUUUGUUUUUUAUUUUUAAAAAUAGAAAAUACUAAUACCUUAUAAACAUAAAAAUUUCAAAAACAAUUUUUAAUAAUAUAAGGUAUGUUGAUAGGAUCUUGGGAGCCUUAUUCUAACCACAAAUUUAUUUAUGAAGAAGAAUGCAACUUGGAAAGUUCAAAUAUCUAAGUCUUAUACUAUUUAGAUAAAUUUGGUGUAAUAGAAAAAAAAUGUUUAAAAGCGACUAUUCCAUUCUCUUGAUGGGCAAAAAUGGACUAGUGAGAAGCCAUGUUUGAAAGUGAAUACUUGACUAGUAACUUUCCAAUGUUUUUGGUCUUAGCAGAAUAUGAUGCUUCUUCCACAACUUUUUGUCAAGUGUGGUUAUUGAUAAUACAACUUAAUAGCAUAUUCUCUUGGACAAUAAAGCCUUGUAACAUACUCUAUUGGACUGUGAAGUUUGAAUAAGUUUUGUUGUAUUUUCUCGGAUACUAGAGGUUGAGUUGACUGGGAUUAAGUUGUCUUCAUAGUGUCAUAGGGAGCAACAGCUUUAGAGAAUUCUGGAUGAAUGAUGAGUUUACUCCUAUUAUAUAUAUAUAUUUAAUUUUGUUAUGUUUUUUUUUUCUUUUAGUUUUUUUAGAGAACACAUUUGAGAGGAUUUUUUUUAGAGUUUCACUAUUGUUACCGUAUUUUUCUUUUGAUUAAUGGAUUGUUAAUUAUCGAUAUACUCCAUAAAUGUAAGGAUCACAUUGAUUACCAAAUCACAUUAAAAUUUUAUUUUAUUUUAUUUAUUUUUAUUUUUUAUUUGUGUGUGUGGGUGGUUUUAGUUAACACACUCAUAUGUCUAGGAGAUAUUCAUAAAUUUAUGUUUUAGUAGGAAUUUAGGUAUCAAUAUCAGUGCUUAAUAAAAUAAAAAUAUUUCAAAAUUAUACAAAUAAAAUAUUUUUUAUUCAAUUAUAAGUAAAAAUAGAAAAAUAUUAAUUAAUUCGAUAAGUGUUCAUUUAAAUACAUUUCAUAUUUCCUACUUUUAAAAUUAAGAUAUAAGAGUCUUAUAUUAAAAUUAAUUUUAUGGUUUUAAAAACUAUUUUUAAAAAGUCAGUGCAUUAAAAAAAUUUAUAAUUUAAAAUUUAAAAUUUUUGAAAAUAUAAAUAAAUCUAUACUUUUUAUAUAAGACGAUAUACUUUUAUAUAACAAUUUCUAAAUUAUUAUUAUUUUUAAAAAAAAUGAUGUGCAUCCAAAUGGACAUUAGGAUUUAUGUUUUUUUUAUUAUAAAUAGUAAAAGUAUGAAAUGUGAUCGAGGUAAUGAUUUUUAAACACGAUUUUUUUAAAAAAUUAAAAGUAAUUUUAAAAAUAUAUUCCUACUUUAGGAUACAUUUUCAAUUAUUUUUUGUUUUUAAAAUAAAAAUAGUAACAACUUCUAUAUUUUUCAAAAUAAAAAUAAAUGUUACCACAUCAAUUUCAAAAGUUACUGCCCCUUUUCAAAAGUAAACAGCCCCUUUCUCUUGUCACAGGCCACCCCUACCCCCAAUUUAGAAUGCCGGACCUUGCUAUCAUGAAAGUAUUUUUCUUUUGAUAUUUUUUUACCACUACAUGCCCAAUGAUCGGUGGUCAUCAAAUAAAAAAUGUUUAAUUUAGUGCUUCUCCAAUGCACUUUGUCUUUUGUAUUUUUAAAAGUAGAAAUUAGUAAUUAUCGCUAUAAAAAAAAUACUAUUAUAUUUUUAAAACUUGAGAUAGUAAUUUUUUUUAUCAUUUCAAUUUUUUAAAAAUUAUUAUUUUUUUAAAGUAAAUUUUAAAGAGUUUUUAUUUUUAUAUAAAAAUUUCUAUCAUUUUUUAAUUUAAAAUUUAAAAUUAGAGAAUCUAUCCAAAUCCUUCACAAACUUUUUGUAUUUUUAAAUAUGCCUAGGGAUAGGAGGGUUCGGGGUUGUCCCCUUUCCAAUUUUGUUCCGUUUAUUUAAAAUAAUUUUUAUUCUCGUUUUAUUAAAAAUAUUAAAGGUUUGAAGUUGGUGUGUGUUACUUUAUUUAUUUAUUUUUUUAAAAAAUAUUUUAAAAUUUUUAAUUACAUUAAAAUAAAUAUAUUUUAUAAAUAAUUAAAACAUUAUAAAUUUUUAUUACUUAUUUUAUUGAAAAGUAUUUUUUUAUUAUUAUUUAUUAAAAAUAAAAAAUAAAUUAAAUUAAUUUUGUAUAUAAUUAAGGCGGAACAAAGUGGAAUAAGACAAUACUCCAAUCCACCCUAAACCUGACUCAAGUUUAAUAAGAAAUCUGAAACCCACCUCUAAUUCGAUUAUGUAGAUUUUAAACUCGUUAGGAGAAGGAUAUGGUGGGUACCUUAAAAAAUCUGCAUUAUUGUCAUCCCUAGACUAGCCAUUAUUAUUUAUAUGCAGAGCAUAUCAAUUUUUUUUAUAUAUGUUAUAUGAAGUAAUAAUUGAAUAAAAACAUUAAUGAAAGGAUGAAUGUAAUUUUCUUGCGUUAAAAAGGCCUUUAUAUAAUUUAGGUCUAUGAUAAUUAAAAAUGGUAUAUAACUUGUACAAAGUAUACAACCACUAAAAUGGGUCAAAUAAUUCUUAUAUACUUUAUAUAACUUAUACCAUUUUAAAUUAAUAAUUCUCUGAUAUAGGCCAUUAUAUAUGAAGUGUCAAAUAAUUAUGGGUUGGAUUAAGAAGUAGGAAAUGGGAGCGAAAUCUUACAAUAAGCUUGAUGUAUAAAGUAUAAGCCCAUGAUUCUAAAAUUUCAAUUUCAAAAUAUAAAGUACAAUUAUUAUGUACAAGAGAAUUGCACCUCUCCCCAGCCUAAAUUAAUGGUUAUAUUUUCCCAUAGUCGGAAUCAGCACGAGAGAAAUUCGAAAACCAAAAUGUCGUUGUGAUUUGAAGCAAACGGUAAAAAAUAAUGCCACGUAAUGGGCGUGGCACUUAAUGCAAAAAGAGUUAGGCUCACAACUGGGUCCCACGUCACACCCCUCCAUCCCACGUGCCACCUAUCUCUUAUAACCACUUUACGACUUUUUUCUUUUCCAGCCAAAAAAAAAAAAAAAAAAUGUAUAUAUAUAUUUGGUUGAAUUGGGUUUGGACUUUUCUGUAAAAGAAACAGAGCGCGUGGGUCCCCCACACUGUACACGCGUCAACUCCACACCUCAUUCACGUAACUGUGACCCUCCUCUUUUAACGAAGAUUCGCCAGCCGGCCACAUGGGCCCCACUUUCCAAUCAAACCCACCACCUCUACCUUUAUUUUAGGCGUGUAAUUCCACGAAUCGAUGGGCCCCCCGUGUCCUCUAGUCAACAAAGCGGCCAAUCAGGGGAGAGAUGAGUUCCCAAGCAACUCCCUCCCUCCUCCUACUUUUCUUCUUUCUCUCUUUUUUUGUUUUUUUAAAUAAUAAUAAUAAUUAAUUUUCUGGAUAUAUCUUCAGGCUGUCCCUGUCGGUAGCUGACAGGACACGUGUCGAGCUCCGGAUGGGACUACUCCCCUGCUUCUCUCCCACGCUAUGCCACCUCGUCAGCUACGUCCCUUUCUCGAAAAUGACGUUUUCGCCCCUUUUAUGCUGCCUUUUCUAUAUCUAUAAUCCCCGAUGUGCCCCUCACCCUUUAUCACGCAGGUGUACGUCCUCGUCCCCUUCAUAAGUUCUCCAAGAGAAUCCGACGGUGACGACGUGACGGAGGGGAGAUGAUGAUUGGCGUGAUGGUGAUGCAGAGAAUCUCGCUAUGGGGUUGCGUGUAGAAGAGGAUUAGAUGGUGACGUAAGGCGUACGCACUAUCAGCAUCUGCAGAAGGACAAAAAUCCAGUGUGAAAUUAUCUAGAAUCGAAUGAUGGGUCUGCGGGAGUGACACCCACACCCUCAUAAGCGCGUGUGGUGCAGCUUAAUGAUCAGAAUAUAAUUACUACUUAAAUUAGAAAUAAUAUGAAAUUUGGAGUAAAACCCAUACCAAGUCUUCAAAUUCUAAUGCCUGAUGUGACGAAAGAUUGCAAACAGGCCCAGGUUUUCUUAAUGCAUUUUGGAUUCAAAAGUUUAAAUUAUUAAUUGUUUAUUUAUAUAUAUUUUUUAAAAAUCAAAAUUAUAUUGAUAGAGGGAAGAUGAAUAUGGAGAAAACAAAUAAAAAAAGAAAAUGGAAAAGGGUGGACCACCAAAGUGGGAAAGAGGUGGAUGGAGGAGGAAAGAGGAGUUAGGUUGCAAUGUCCUCCAUAUUAAAUGGAUCCAAACAAAAGUCGUUGAAGGGAGAUUGCUUUUAUAUCAUGUCUCUCCUUCACAUUAUUGCUAAUAUCUCUUUCUAUCACAUAUGCUCUUCUUCUUCUUCUUCCUUUGAAUUCCCUCACUCUCUUAAGCUAUUUUCCACCCACCUUUUCUACCCUGUUUUCACCUUGGAAAUGUUUAAGCUAGAAAUUCAACCCACUUCCAUCAAUGUACUUUAAUUUAAUAAUUUUGAAAGAAAAAUAUGUAACACAUGUUCUUUGAAAUGAUAGAGACUAUUUAUUGCUGCAAUUUCUAUACUUUAUUGUUGGUUGGAAUCCCCCAAACCAAUAUGGAUUGCAUUAGUUUUGCCAAUUUUAUGAAGUUCCUAGUCAAGUCCACCCUGCUGCCAUGUUGCCUUCAAAUUAAACCAUAUUGCCCUAAAUGUGGCCGCUAGGUUUUAAACCCACAAAACUAGAAUCAAACUUGAAAUGGGUAUUGAUUUAUUUUGACUAAAAACUAAAAAAUUUACAAAGGGAUGCAUUUUUUAUUUUUUAAUCAUUAAAGUGGUAUUCAUUAUUUUAGAAACAAGAAGAGAAGUUGAUGGUUUAAAGCUUCUCUGGUUUUCUUUCCUUUUCGUGAUUUUUCCUCCAACCAAACGGGAUAUUUAUUGUUUUAAAAUUGAAAUGACUUUGUAAACGUGGCCUUUCCACAUCCAUAGACAAGUAGGGUGUUAGGCAUGCCCUGUGGUAGACAGGUCUCAUCCACAAUCCAUCUUUGACCCUUCCAUUUUUUAAUUUUUUUUUUUAAAUUUAAAUGCUUUGUUCUUUUAAAUAUGGAUAGAGGGCACACACCCAUAACUCAAUAAUUAACAUUUCAUCCACCAAACUAAUCUUGAAUGAGUUCCAACCCACUUCUCCUUGGUUUUUCCAUCUAUUCUUUGAGGUACAAUUUGAUAGAUAUUUCUCAAAGUUUGCCACUACCCAACCCAAAUUUGUCCUAAAAAGAAAUGGAUUGUGACCUUAAAAACUUAGGAACAAAAAAACUAUUUUCUAAUGAAAAGAUAGAAAGCACCAUCACUAAAAUUUGAAGUAGUGGGUGAUUAUGGGGUGCAACUGCCCCCACACUAGCAAUGAAGGACCCUCCCCCUAGAUUCUCCUUAGGCAUCACUGCUCCAAUCCAAGGGCUCACAGGUGGUUCACACAAGAAGUAGGGUGUGAAAUAUGAAUAGUUUUUUCUUUCCCCUUUAAUUGAAGUUGCCACUUUUUGUAUCUUGUGAUUUAAUAAAUGGGGUUUAGGGGAAGCUUCUGAAUUGUGUGGAAUAGAAGCUUGGUGUUUUGGAGGCAUGGUGCCUCUCAAAGUAAGGACAGAGUCCCAAAUCCUAAAAUAAAUAAAAUAUCAAAUCUUCAAAAAGAUGGCAAUUUCACCAUCAAUUACAAUCAUCAUCCAGUGUAUCUAUCUAUAACCCAUCUUUUCUUGUCUUUGUUUCUACUAUUAUUUUAAAUCAAACUACUACUACUACUACUGCUGCAUGUUUGUCAUAUCACAGCUUUCCCAUUCAUUCUAGGCAACCAAACACAGAGAGAAGAAAAAAGAAAUGUUAAUAAUGGGUGAUGAGAUUGGGUGUGGUUGGCCCAUGGGUCAAGUUGUUGAGUUUUGAAACAAAAUUAUAAGAGAAAUGGGACCCUGUGGGGGCUCCUCUCUCUCUUUUUCAUAUUGUUUUGUGUGUUUAUGUUCAAUGAUGAGAUUCCAAUUUUCAUGCUUGGACAGUGGUAUCCUACUUGUUUUUUCAAAUCAACUUUUUACACAACACCCUUAUCCUCAACUUGAAACAUCUGAUUUAAAGUCCAACUUUUUUCAAAAUAAAAAUAUGUUUUUAAUAUCAUAUUCAUUUACUGUACAUAUUUUUUUGGUUCUCACUUUUGAGGUUUGCCGACGAACAAGGGCAUGUUUGGAAUGUUGAAACAAGUUCCGGAAAAUUCAUCACAUGCUAGUAUGACUCAUCUCCAUUACAAUUCUUAUUCUUGCAUAUCAAAUGUGUUGAAUCAUUUUUUUAUUUUUUGUGAAUUUUGAAAAUGGGUAAAUAUUUUUGGAAAAUUUGCCAAAUGGGGGUCUCAAGGUAUGAACACAGUCUUUAACCAAAUUGAGGAGGUAGGGGGUGUGUGGUGUGUCCCCAUAGGAGUUAAAGGUGUUUAACAUGUUGGGCAGCCUAUGGGCCUGAUCUGGCCCAUCUCAUAAGACUUUGUGUUUCUUGUUAGGUACUGUUGUCUAUAUCUAUCUUACAAUUAUUUAAAAAAAAAUAAAUGACCAAAUGUGAUAUGGAUUAUUGUUAAUUAUUAAUAAAUUGGUGAUAAAAAUGAGAAUAAAAUACUCUUGUUUUCUAUAGCAAUCACUCAAAUAAGAAGAUAGGAUAAGGCAGCCUUAAAGCCCAUACAUGGGUUUUGAAGCCUGCGGCUAGGCCCAUUGUGGAUAUAAAUAGGAUUGUAAAUGGGCCAACUUUUGGUGGUUAACAAAGCCCAUCUCCCUCUCUCUAAAAUGAGAGAAAAAAAAAAUUAUUUAAAGAGUUUACAUAUUUUUAAAAUUUUCAUUCUAUGAAAAAAGAAAGAUAAAUAAGUUUAGAAAACUAUAUGUGGAAAAUUUAUUAAGUAGUUUAAAUUUAUAUUUUAUUAUCUUUUUUUUCUCCUAUUUUCUUUAUAUAGUACAUUUUCUCAAACUAGUUUUCAAAAAAUUCCAAAAAUAAAAUUUUAUUUGAGAAUUUAAUAUGAAAAACAGUUUUCUGUACUUACUUUUCAUAUUGUAUAUAUAUUUCCAAUACAAAAGUUUUCAACAUAUUCUUUAUUUUUUCAGUUAUUACUCAUAAUACUUUACAAAAACGAUUGAAAAUACUUCAAAUUUAUUCUAAAAAAUAAAAUAUUUUUAAAAUAAAUUUUUAAAAACAGUUUUUUAUUUAAAAAAAAAAUUUCUGUGUAUUGCGUUUUAAAGAAUAUAAAACUAUUUUUUUAAAAAAUUUCCAAACACAACCUUAUAUCCAUUGAUUACCAGUAAUAUUUUAAUUGAUAAAUGAUUGAAAAAUAAUAAUGUAAUUGGAGUAGCAUAUGGGCUUAGCUUAACAGAACUCAAAGAUUUGGUUUCUUAUUAAGUAGUAAGUACCAUUUUGUAUUCUUAUGAUUCAUUCAUAAAAACGACUAAAACUUUCAACAUGUUUUGAAGUUAACAUUCCUACUAAUUAUUACUAAAUUGGUAAAAAAAAAGAAAAAAAAAAAAAAAAGAGAACUGGACUUAAACUGGGCCGCCAUUAACAGCGCUUUGAAAUCUGUGGGAAGGCCCACAUUUUUGUGAUCCAAACAAAUCCAACUAUUGCAUGGGAUGGCUAAAGCCCAGCAUGAGCCCAAUUCGCGAAGCCGAUUCUUCUCGUCAACUCUAAUUUCACCCUCCAUUUCCACUUGUCUGUGACUCACAUAACCCAUAAUUAUUCUACUUCUCUCGAAAGUGCAAACUGCAAUGUGUGCUUAAAAGGGAUUGUUUCAACUUACUAAGGGCAUAUUUUGGAAUGUUUUUUAAAAUAUUCAUCACAAAAUAGAUUUUGAAAAUGGUUUUCAGAAAAGUUCUUUGAUGUCUUUUAGAAUACAAAUUUGUUUAGAAACUUGGAAUAUUUUCAAUUUUUUUUUUCCUAAACAAUUUCUAUGUUUCAAAAUUUAUAAAAGUAUAAUUUAAAUGGAUUUCAAUUAAAUGUUAAGAUUUCACAUAACACAAUAAUUAAAUAGAUCAUGAAUAAUUUAAGUCGUGAUUUUUCAACAUGACAUAUGAUUAAUACCUCAACUUCUAACAUAUUAUUUAUGCUUAUAAAUGAUGGGUCUAGCAUUCUUGGACGUGCCAAGUCCCUUUGACUGGGCUUGACGCCAAUAUGGGGUUGUUUCAAUGGUCGAACUUGUCAUGGCAGAACAAAAGAGUGCGAAUUAUGGGUGCGUGUAAUUGGGACCUUUGUACCACACCAAUGACUAGACUACCUAGACCCAAAUAGAAGAUAAUGAACACCAAGUAAUACAUAGAGGAUAAAUGAACACUAGUCAAGUAUAUCUAGGUACGCCCUUGCCUAUGAGAAACCUUGAGGGAUAUCCAAGCCGUUAUGUUCAUAUAUACAGGAUGAAAGUGUUAUUGAGGAGAUCACCUAACGGUCUUGCCAAUUGAGUUUCCAAAAAAUGUUGGACAAAAAAAUGCGACCAAAAAGUUGACAACGAUUUCAAUGAACAGGAGGCACCCAUCUUGCCUAUAGGGGGCAUGCCUAAAUGUUCAUGACCAUUGAAUAAGACAACCUUAAUAAACCAAUGGAGGCCUUAACAUGUGCAUGUGCAUGUGCUACUUGAAAAGCUAUGGUUGCCUAACCAAUGAUGCUUCCAUUAAUUUAGUUGUAUGCUAACAUAGUAACUACCGACCUAACCAACCAACCAGGGUUGAGUUUAGAUAUAAAAGGCAUUUAAGCUUUGGUAGAAGGUUAAGCUUAUUCGUUCCUACUAUAAAAGCUACCCUGAAUUUACCCACUUUAUUCCCCAAGGAAAAAAAAUGUAUUGCCAACUUAGUGCCAAUUCUUUUCUAGCUAUUGACUGUGAUUCUCUAUUGUCUAAAAUACCAAACCUAAAUUACGUAGUAACUCUGGUCAAGAAAAACUAGAAAAGAGUCACUAUGACUUUUGUAGUACUUCGGGUAUCAUCCUCAAGGACUGACCUAUGGAAGUUGUCAAAUUAGGUUUAAAACAUUGCUUUUUGCUAAAUUCGUGAAUUGGAAAAAAAAAAAAAUGAUUUGAACAAAAUUGAAUUUAAUAAAAUAAACCUUAAAUAAAUUACAAAACAAUAAUUGAUUUCUAAUUCAAAUGAUUCAAGAUUGGGAGUUCCACAAUCUAACUUUGGGUAUAGGGCCUCAGGCAUAACAAGGGUAUCAAUUUUGAUUAAUCUUAGAGUAUUCAGAAUGUGGGGUCAAAUGAGAUCAACUUCAGUUCCACAACUCAGGAUUGCAUCCAUAUUCUGACUUUUAAUAUUUUAUUCAAUUACUGAAAUAUCAAAUAGAUGAAUAGGUAUGAAAAUUGGGUUUAGGUCUAGGAGAUAGGCCUUUACUACUUCGUGUAGAUUUAUCUUAGGAUAGAUAACAAUAGCAAAACCUCAGAUAACUAGGGAUCGAGAAUUACCAAGAAUCUCUAGUAUCAAGGAAUGGACUAUUGUACCAUCCCCUAAUUCAAACUAGAAUUAGAGGAUAUUUCAAUUUUCAUCUAUUAUGCCUCAGCUGUUUAUUCAUUCCAUUUUUAGUUCGGUUUUACCCAUUGUUUUCCCUUAACUCUAACCCUAGGUUUUCAUGUUUUACACCUCAAGAUGGCUUUUUAACCUCUCAUGGUGGUGAUUUCAUUUACACAAUCCAUAAAAGAAGAAUAAAGAAUCAUUCUUGAAUAAAAGAAAUUAGAAACAAUUGAUUAAAAUAAAGAAAACAAAUUGAGAAUCUUCAAUGUUGUCUUCUCUUCUUAAAAGAAUCCAAGAACAUCCAAUAAUUUUCUUGAACUCUUAAAAAAAAGAACUCUAAUGCCCUAUUUAUAGACUAAAAGUUAAGUUGACACAUGACAAGAUCCUAGAGAGCAUGUAAAAUCUUCUUUCCAAAUCAAGGGCUCUCAAUAAAUGUUAUAAAAAUUUGAGUCACGAGAGCCUUUAAUGAAAAGAUGUUGAUUUUGCAUGAGGAUGAUCCAUUUCGGAUGUUCAUGCAAAAUAUAAAUGGAUUGACAACAUUCUAACAUCAUUUUGGUACAUUUGGCAUGGUUGUGCAAAAAUUCACAUGUUCAUGCAAAAUUGAUUUCCAAGCUUUUGCAAAAACAAUCUCUUUGGUCCAUUUCACAUGAUCAUGUGAAAUGUUCAUGCAAAACUGACACUCCUUUGAUUCCUCUUUGCACAGUUCUCUUCAAUCAUCCAUAUCUUCCUUGUUUUAGCUCUGAUUUGUACACCGUUUGAAGCGUUGUAUUUCUAACUUCUUGAGCUUUGAAAUGAUAUAUAGUAUACCGAAAAAUGACUUCUAUAAGUACUCAAAAUAUCACCUCAAAUUCAUAACAUAUGUUAUUGCUAGAAUUUGAGUUCCAAUUGGAAUGCAUGAACUUCAAGCCAUAUCCUUCAACCUUCUUUCUCAUGUUUGCUUGCUCUCCAAUUCUUUCCAGAACCUUCAUUUCUUAUCUCCCAUGCUAUGAAUUACUCCACCUUCAUUUGUCAAAAUUUUCAUCAUGUUUCACACUUUUGGAGCUCAUUCUAAACAUGUCUAGUCUUUUUUCUACCAUGAUUGAAAAUGACUUCUCCAACUUGCAUCCUUUUUAUCCUUUAAGCCUGAAAUUUAGCUCAAGAUAUAUGUUAGAUCCAUGGCUAGGGUCUUAGCAAUAAUCCAAGUUAAGUUGGGUGAAUUAAGCCUUUAAAUAUGUAUAAUAUCUUUCCAUAUGUGCCAUUAGAGCACAAUUUGUGGCUCUAAUAAGCCAUCUUCUAGUUUCAAUCCAGCCUUUACUAACUUGAGCAUUAUGAGGGUGUGGUUGGGCAUCACCCUCCAACCUUUUAUGUUUAGGAGUUUGUCUUAAGGAAAUUAUGUUUUUCCUAUGGUCAUCAACCAAUUGGGUGAGGAGUUGUUGGGGUCACCCACAUAUCAACCCAAUUUGAGAGUUUAUGUACUAACAAUUGUGAAAAUUUGAUGGUGAUCAUUUAGGCUAUGAGUAUGGGAUUUCACCUCAAUAGUAGAGGAAUGCUUAGCCAUUAUUUGAGAAAUGAUAGAGGCAUAUAUAAUUUAUGGAGCACAAAGCUUAGAUGGAAGAUAUGCACAUGAUGAUAAAGCAACUUCAUUGUGAGAAUGGAAACCCUGGCUACUUAAGUUAGUAUGUUCACUUAAGUCUAUUUGGCUAUGUUGGACUCUUGGUUAAAGAUAACUAAUAGUUGGUGGGAAGAGUACCGAAUGACUUAGAUAACUUGAUUCUUAAUGGGGCCCUGAUGUUAGAAGUAACUAGGUUCGCCCACCUUUCUCAUCUUUGGAUGACCAAACCUAUUUAGAUAUGAACCUAAUGAGAUAACCAAUGUUGCCCCAAAAAAGGCAAACAUAGUCGAAUAGACUUGGUAAAAGGAUGCCUAUCAACAAACAACCAUGAACCAUUUAGCUAUUAUGGCCAGCCUCAAUUGCCAUUUGGCUUAUCAUUGGGGUUUGUCAUGUUGAAGUUCACUAUGGAUGAUGGUACCACAAAUCAAUUGACCACCUCAUGCACUAUUGCUAGGUCAUGAUUCUUGAUAUUGCUAGUGACCUCCUACUAUCUAAAGUGUUAGUGGCUAGCUUGUAUAGCCUAAACAUGGCAUAUUGUACUAGCUCUCUCUGAAUUCCAUCCAUAGAUUCAAAGGGCUAUUAAAGGUCUUCAUAACCUAUUAUCUCUAUUUGUCCUUAAUAGAAACAAGAGAUCAACAACCUCAAUAAUCUUUAGAUGAUGGAGUCAAAAUCCCUCUACGAUUUCCUGAAGAGGUUUGACUAGGUGAUGUUGUAGAUGAGUCAUGUAGUAUGGAUGCAAUUAAGUAAACAUUUAGAAGAAGCAUUAUGCUCAAAUAGCUAUUUUUUGAAUCGAUUUCCAAGAAACCUUUGAAAAACUUGGAUAAUAUUUUCUAACAAGUGAGCAAAUAUACCAUUCUUGAGGAUGCCUUGUGCACUACCUAUUAGUAGAUAGUAACCUCAUCUUAAGAUGUAUAAUCCAAAAAGGCAUUCCUCAUACAAACGAGGAUAAGGGAAAAAUGAUCGAUCCCUAUAUGUCCUCGCUUGGAAGAAAGGGCAACCAAGUGAUAAACUAGGUUGCUUGUUUAUCCAAUUAACUCAAAUAAGUCUUACUUACCUUAGUUCCUCUUUCUGAUCCACUUAAAUGACUUUUACUGACCCCUCUUAUGUGAGAAGUGUUGGGAAUACCUAAAUAACUCCAUUCCCAUCCUUGGAUGGUUAGGGUGUUGAAAAAUGUUAUAGGGGCUCUUUAAAUCUAACAAUCAGAAACAUAGUAUACAUUAAUGUUGGGAUUGAGCCUUUACAAGCAAGACAUGAUGUAACAAAGUCAGACUUGACCAUCCUUUUGUUAUCAUUUUUAUGCAUUGACAUUGGUUUGAGUAUUAAACCAUGUAUCUUAUAUUAUACAUGACUUAGGUGCAUUAGGAGUGUUGGGAUUGAGCUCCUAAAAGUAAGAUAUGAUGUAAUAAAGUUAGACUUAAUUGUCCCCUUGCUAUCCUUUUGGUGUAUUGACAUUGAUUUGAGCAUUCAUAUCAUGUCUCUUACAUUGUACAUGACUUUGGUGCAUUAGGAGUUGCACAUAAGAUACAAGUCAAGAGUUCCUUAUAAGUAGAUAAGUUGUCUACCGUUAGCUCAUGAAUUUGGGCAAUUCAGUAAAGACUUGUACACUACCUCCUAAUAGGAGGGAUGACUUAUCUUGGCUGUCGGGAUGGGUUUUCCAUGGUGAGUGUAUUAGUGUAUGUGAUGCACACUAGACAAGACUUACGGUGAAUAGUGAUGCAAGGUUAUCAAAUGUCAUGAUUCACCAAGCUACUAUAUUGCAUGGAUUCCCAACCUUGAGAGGAUAUUGAGUCUGUUGAAAUUAAUAAGGGGCUUUGACUUAUGAGUAAUACCUUAAAGUGGUCAUAUAUCCCUAUGGAUUGAGUCACUAUUGAUGGAGGUUGGUGACAAUAGGUAUUCUCAAUCGAGGCACCAUGAUAUCUCAUGAGAUUGAGAUAGUGUGUCCUCUUGGAUAAUCCAAAGGAUAUGUGAUCAUGAAAUCUGUGGCCAUAAUAAUUCCUUCAGUGAAAUUUGACAUAUGUUCCUUGGAGCUAGAGUAUGUCAGUUGAUCACAUAAUAAGUGGGAUUUGUAACUCAAAGAUUUGAGAGGUAAUCUUUAUAGGUGAUAUUACUAUUUUGUUAAAUUACAAACACCAAUUUAUGGGGAGUCUGCAUGUAGUAGAUAGUAGAUCGUAGACAUAAGCUUCGUCUCAUUAUUUUUUACAUAGGGUACUGGAGUGCAAUUGAUUAUCUUUAGUAGAAUCUUGAAUCAAUUACAAAAUUGGAUUAUGAGGGAGCCUAUACUCCUAUAGGUUCCAGUGGUUCUAGUGGUUCCUGCUCUAAGCUCAUAUACCAUGAUGACACGGUUUAUGAGGGUUGGAUUUGCUCUAGGUUCAUUCUUAUGCAUAAAGGCGUUUUGGUAAUUAAAUAAGGUUGCUUGGGGGAUAGUUAACAAGGUAUUUGGUUUAGGCUAAUUGAUUAAUUAGAUGACCUUAUAUGGUUAAUUAAUCAAUUAGGACAUGUUUUGGGUUAGAUUAAGUGAGCCAACCCUUGAUGGACUUAAGUCACUUAAGCCCUAUGGGCAAUCCUAUAAAUACCCCUUCAUGGUUAGAGUUUCCUAAAGACUUUUGGUUAUAAUUGUUUUCCACUUCUAGAGAGAGAGAAAGAACCAUAACAUUUUUCCUUCCAAAGUCCAUACUUUGGAGUGCCAAGAUCGUGGUUUGAGUCAUUAGGUGGAAGACCUUGGAUGUAUGAGAUCUUUAGAUUUUUCACACAUGUUCUUCAAUGGAUGGAUUUUGAUUUGGGAACAUCCAGAUCAUGGGUAUGAGUUUCAAAUUUCUAGAUCUUUAUUCUAAACUGGUUUUGAAGCCAUUAUUUUUUGUUGCGAUAGAUUUAAAGAUCCCUACGGAUAGAUGCAUGCAUUCUACUAGAUCUAAGACAUAGAAACAAAGUAAUCCAAGGUUCCCAACAACUAGUAUCAAAGCCCUAGGGUAGGUUCUAGUAUAUUAGAUUUGUUUUAGGGUGUGCUAACUCUAUUUUAUAGGUAUGUUUAUUCAUCCCAUGGCCUAAAGGGAUGAAUGAAUGUCAAUAUAAUGGUUAUACUUUUCUUUUUUAUUUUUACAAUUAUUCUUGGGUUAUUAUUAUGUUUAGAUCUGUUAAUAUUUAUUGGUUUAUUAUUUUCUUUAGAUUGGGUUGUACAACCCAUAAGGGAUAUAAAAUUUUUGUUUGAUUGUAAAAAUAUUUUAUUUCAAUAGAUAUGUUGCAAGCUCCUUUAUAGGAGCAUAUGAAUUUUUAUUAUUAUAAAUAUUUUAGUUUUUUAUAUCUAUCUAUGGUGGCUCAAGAGAAAAGAACGAAUCUUGAAGUUUCUUUUUAAGAUUCUAGGAUGGUUAAAGAAGAAAAUAAGGAUUCUUGAAAGUUCUUGUUUUAAGAUCCAUGGCAACAUAGUGACAUCAACUUCAACUCAAAAUUGGGCCUAUCUCCUAGUAGUUUCUUAAGGCAAAUCACAUAUGGAUUUGAAGCUUAGGAAUUCAGGAAUCCAAUGCUUAAGAUGGAUUGUAAUUCAGAGUUGAAACGAGGAAGAUAUGACCAAUUCAAACAAUGCUGCACAAAGAGAAUGCUAUUACAAGAUUGCAUUACGAUCCAAUUGCUUUUGGUUGUUUAGGUUAAUUUUUAGGACUUUUCUUGGGCUCAUUUAUUUAUUUGUGACAACUGGGUCUUUUAGGGUUUUUUAAUUUUUUUUAACCCUAAUAUUUUGUUGUAGGGUUGUUUUGGUAAUUUGGAUUUUAUCCAAAAUUUUAAUUACCAAAUAUGCAAGAGGAUCCCUGAAGGCCACGAGAAAUUUUCUUUUUGAUUAUUCCCUUGUUUUUAUUAUUUUCUAUUUUGAUUAAUUACAUAUGUGACCUCAAGAUAUUUUGGUAUUCUUAAUUUAAAUAAUUUUUCAAAAUUGGAAAACUUAUUUAUCUCUCUCCUAUUUCUUCUCUUCUUCCACCUAUCCUCCACAUCCAAAAGCUCUCCAUUUCCACUAUUCAUCAUCUUUUUUCCUUUUAUUUAUUAUUUAUUUAUUUUUCUCCCUCCAUUUCCCAAGGUGGGCCGACCAUCUCUUUCCUUUGGGUUGGCCCCCAUUUUUUCCCCAUUCUAUCUCCAUUCUCUAUAUUUUUCCUCUUUUCCCAUUUUCCCAAGAACGGCCGCCCCCCAUUCUUCUCUUCCCCAACUUCUCUCCAUUUAAUAUUCCCCAUUUUUCUUACUUUUGCUCAAGCUUUUCUCUACCCAGAAACCAACAACACACCAGGACUGGCUCCCCAUCUCCCCAAUUUCUCUCAAUUCCUUAGUUUCUCCCCAUAUUUUUUCCACAUAGUCGGUUGGGACAACUCCCAGAUUUAUUUAUUUAUUUUUUCCAUUUUUUGUUUUGGUUUUUUUUCCCUCCCUUUCUCUUCUCCUUCCCACGACACCCCCCUACUUUUUUUGUUUCCUAUUUUUUUUUCUCCUAACCGACCCCCAUUUUUUUCUUUCCCUCAUUUUCCCUCAAUUUCCCUCCAUCCAAACACUAUUCUUUUGAUUUCUUAUCACUAUUAUUAUUAUUAUUAUUAUUAUUAUUAUUUUCUACUCUCCUCUCACUAUACCUAAUCUCUUAAUGUUGUCGGCAGACCACCGACUAGUCGUUGCCGAUGAGCUACUACCAACUGGUGACCCCUUCCUCUUUUCUCUAAUUCCUUCAUUCCCUCACUUUUCCAUCACACCCGUUAUUAUUAUUAUUAUUACUAUUUCUUUAUUUUUCUUUAUUUGAUUUUAAUAGUAAUUGUUGUUGAAAUUGGGCUGGUGCAUUUAUGUUUGUUUGUGAGCCUUAUGUUUGGGCUUUGUUAAUUUUCUAUGAAAUUUGGGUUAAUUUAUUGUUGGUGAAUUAAUUCGAAAUUUGUUAAUUUGGGUUUGUGGUUAUAUUGCAGUUGGUGAUUAAUUUGGGAUAUUUGGAUUAUAUCAAUUGCAUAUUAUUUAUUUGAACUUGGGCCUAUUGUUAAUUGGUUAUUUGUUUGAGUUUAUUGGAUUGGGCUUGAGAUAUUAUUUCCUUUGACCAUGUAUAUUAUUAAUGUAGGCUUCUUAAUUGGUUAUUUGUUUGGGCUUAUUAGAUUCGACUUGAGAUAUUAUUUCCUUUGGUCAUGUGUAUUAUUAAUAUGGGCUUGUUAAUUGAUAAAAAAAUUUGGGCCCAUAAUGUGGGUUAGAUUUGUUGGAUGACUUGAAUAUUUGACAUGAGCUUGAUCAAUUUGAACUAUUUAAUUUGGACAUGAGACAAUUGUGGUGUAUAUUAAAUUAGUUUUGGAUUAUUGAAUAUUAAAUUUAGGCUUAGUAGAAUUUAUUUUAAUUUAUCCAAUUUUAGGUUUGGUUGAUUGUAUUUGUAUUUUUAGUUAUUAAUUUGGAUGUUUUGGGCUAAGACCUAUAAUAAUUUAAGCUCAUUUUAAUUGACGAAAUUUAUGGGACUAAUUUGAAAUUUAAAAUUGGGUUUGAAUAUUUGUUUGGAAUUUUGUGCAUCUUUGGAUAUUUACAUUCAUGCUAUUUUUGUUUUUGCAUGAACCUAUUAUGCAAUUUUGUUGGCUGAGUACGAAUUGAUGACACGUGGAGCAUGAAAUUUUAUGAAAGAAAGUGAGAUUGAAACAACUGUUAGAAGACAUUGGGUUUUAUUUUUAUUAGUUCCUAUAAAUAUUCAUUUGUAUAUAUUUAUUAAGUGUGUACAGAAUUUAACAUCAAACAAACUAGAAAUUUUGUUUAAAUGAGAGGAAGAAUUCAGUAAACAUGUUUUAAUAAAAUAAUAAUUUUAAAAUAUUCUUUUUAAUAAAAGAAAGUUUUUUUUAUUUAUAAAAAUUCAAAAAAAUGCAUUUAGAAAAAUCCAAAAGAAUUGUUUUUAAUAGAAUUUGAAAAUUUGUUUUUAAUAAAAUUGUCCAAAAGUUGUUUUGUAAAUAAAGUUGUCUCAAAAAUUAAUUUAUAAUAAAAUUGUCCAAAAAAUGUUUUUUUAAAUGAAUUCUUUUUCCUUAAUUAAAAUGUGAUUAAAAAUAUUUUUUAGAAAUAGAGGAUUUAAUUUUUUUAAUUAAAAUUUAUUUUGCAAAUAAAGUUAUGUCUUUUUAAAUAUUUUAUAUAAAUCACUUUUUUAAAAUGAAAAUGAAUCAAAAUACUUUUGUAAAUAAAAUUGUAAAAAUUCAUUAUUUUCUAGUAAAAGCAAGUAAAAAUAAUUUUUGUACCUGAAUUGAAAUUUUGUAAUAUAUUCUUUUGAUAUAAUAAGUGUAAAUAACUUUUUUGAAAAUUGAAUACAAAUGAAAUUGAGAAAAUAAAUUGAUUCUUUUUUGUAAAUAAAUAAAUUGAAAUCAUUAAUUCAAAAUCAUUUUUAAUAAAAUCCUUUGAAAUUUCUUGAAAACAAUUUUUUUAAUAUCUUUUUUUAGUUCAAUAAAUCAUCUUGCAUAAUUAUCUUAUUAUUUAUUUUGUGUAUUUUUGUAAUUAUAUUUCAUCAUUAUUUUAGUGUAUAUUGCUUUCACUAUGACUUGUACAUACUCAUUUGCUUGAUUAUUUUUCUUGGUAUUCAUAAUUAAUUAGUUAAUUUCUACAAUUCCCUUAAUUUGUUUAGUAGAGACCAUAUGUAUCGUGCUUAGAGGGGUGCUACGGCUCACCACCGUACCUUCCCAAUAGGUAACCUGACCCCCAGACCCAAACUCGAUUUUUCACAGACCUGUUUUCCUUCAGGAGUCACACUUAGGGUUUUUCUUUCUUAUUUUGUUUUUCCCUUAAAAAAUAAAACAGAAUUAAGUGGCAACUCCAAGUCUUUUUUUUUAUAAAAAAAAUCAAAUUUUCACCAAACAAAUAAAAAAACGAGUUUCGCCAUCGAGUGGGAACACAUCGAGCGAAAUACGGGGUUCACAAAAAUAUUUUGAAAAUACUUUUCAAAAUUGAUUGUUUAAUUCCUUUAUGGAAAUAAACAUUUUUAGGAGUGUUUCAUAAAGAAUAUUUUAUCCAUUAAGGAAUUACUAAAAAGUUUUGUUUUUGGUAGUAUUUAAUGAGAUAAAUUAUUAUGAGGUUUCCAUAGAAAUAUUUAUUAAAUUGGAAAGAUAUAAGGAUAAAGAAAUUAAAUUUAUGAGGAAUUUUGAAUAUAAGAAGCAAAAGUUCCAUUAUUGGAUAAUGUGCUCUCAAGAUUUUUAAAAUCUCAUAAAUUGGUAAUUUCCUUAUUACACUAGAGUUUUCAAUUUAAAAAAUAAAUAUUUUGAAAAUAUUCAUUGGAGAUAAUUUAUCAUUAAAAGAUUAUUACCAAAAGGCUUAGUAAUUAAUGGAAAUAAAUUUUUUUGAAACAUUUCCUUAAUAAAAUAUUUAUUAAUUGGAACUGUGUAUAGAAGAAUAAUUUUAUGAACAUAGAUUUUAAAAUUUUGAGAGUGGAUAUUUUAUCAAAAUUAUUUUUGAAAAUUACUUUCAUGGAAAUUUUAAAUUUUUUUCAUGCUCAUAUUUUCCUACUACACUAGAUAUCCAAUUAGGAAAUAAAUAUCUUUGGAAAUUCUCAAAGUAGAUAAUUUAUUCAUCAAGGAACUUACUAAUGGUUUUAAAUUACUCUUAUUUAUCUCAAAAGAUUAUGUGGGAGAGGGUCUUAGGUAAGCCCACGACCUUCAUUGUCAAACCUAUCUUGAUUGGGGUUCAUCACCACCCCACCGGUGGGUUGAGCCCUAAGAAUCAAGGGAUAUGGACUCUCCAUUAGGGCAAUACUAGACAUGUUUGUAGUGGGAGCAACCUCGCCAUCGGUAGGGUUCCCUAUUUGGUGACAUUGAUAGUUUAAGAACAAUGAUUAUACACUUAUUAUUGGAUAUGAAGUGAUCGAAUCACCCAUAAUAGCUCCACUUGCAUAGUCCAUGGGCCAAAUAAAAGGUAUGUUGAUUUUGCCUUUGGAUAUAUUUCAUGGUUAAGGCAGGGAGAUCAAUAUGAGAGGGUCUCUAACUAGUAAUGAGGUCAUGACCUACCCAUCGUAGGCUUAAUUCUUAUGAUACUAAAAUACCUUGUAAAAGGAUAUGUGUUUGAGAGCACUACAUUUUUGCUAAAUUAAUUACUAAUUGCCUUGAAUGCUCAAUUAUGUCAUAUGCUUGGUUAUAUUUUUUUAUUAUAGAUAUCAUGUCAGUUAUUUAUAAUCACCCUCUUUCUCACUUUGGAGCAAACCCAACUAAUCAUUUCGACUUAAUUUUAUUCUAGAUAUAAUAACUAAUUGCGUAGAUCUAGUUUAGGAAGAGUUAGAUAUUCCUUAUGAACUAACCUAGCAAAAUGAAAGAGUGGUAUAUCAAGGUGGUAUUAGACAUAUCAGAAGACCAAGUGUUUAAUACUUGGAUCUUUGGAUAAUGUGUUGUAAUAGCAACACAUGUCUAUUAUUAGAGACUUUGAUAUUUUCUUUUUAGUUUGCAAUUGUUAUUUGGUGGCAAGGGCAGGUUAGCUUUGACAAGCUACUUUUAGGACUAUUAUAAACACUAGUAUUCAUAUGAUCUUAGAGACCUUGCUAUUUUCCUUCGGGAUGGCUUAGACGAUUCUCAAAUAUUAUAAGGUGUUUAUAUGGAAGUCAAAGGUUCUUUAGGGGCAGUGAUUCCUUUGUGACCUUUUAUGACACUAUAAAAAGAAUGCCUAGUUUACCUAAAGGAAAAAGGAAAGUAUACAUCAUUUUCUCAAUGUUGAAUAUUUAGUGGUGGAUUUCACCAUUUAUAGUGGAUAGAUUCCAAGCCCACUAUCUGUAAGUCCUUAUAGGAUAUUGAAUAAGUGAGAAUGCUAAAUGAUGGUAUUAUACUUACCUUAGCUUCAAAUUUAAGGUUAGUUGUGCAGGUUAGUGGGAGGUAAUAUCUUCUUUUAUAUGUAUUCCAUUAUCACUUUGCCAAGUGAUGAGAAUAGUCAGAUCUCAAGAUUGAACCUAGCACUAAUUAAAUAUUUGGUAUGUUGACCUAGGUCAUAUUAAUCUAAAUAGGAUACAAAGUCUAGAAAAGCCUGGACUCUUUGAUUCCAGAAGAUCUUUCAGUCUACAAAUCUUGUAUAGAUGAUAAAAUGACAAAGAGGACUAGAGCCAAGGAAUGUUUGAAGUUAAUGCAUAAUAACAUCUAUGGAACUUUAGUGUCCAUGCAUAGGGAUGGUAUGGGUAUUUCAUCUCUUUUAGUGAUGAUUACUCUAGGUUUAGAUAUGUACAUAGGAAAUCUGAUGCCUUGGAUACAUUCAUUGAAUUUAAGACGAGAUUGGAUAACCUAUUGGGUAUACAUAUCAAGUCCCUUCGAUUAGACCAAGGUGAUAUGUCUAUUAAUUUGAUUCUUUCCAUUGGAGCACAAGAUUAUUUCCCAAUUAUGUGCACUAGGGUCGCCAUUGCAAAAUGGAGAGGUAGAAAAAAGAUAUCAAACUUGGAUGGACAUAAUGAAAUCAUGGAUAGGUUUCUCAUAUUUUUCCAGAUUUUUUUGGGGAUAUGUACUAUGGAUUAUGUAAUACCUUUUUUUCUUAAAAGGUAUAUGAAUUUAUGAGAUAUCUAAAAGGAUUUCAGGGGUUAUAACCUUUAUAGUUAGGAUCAUGAGAAGGUGUUUGUUGAUACAAAUGUCAAAUUUCUAAUGAAGACUAUAUGAUGAGGAAUGAGGUAACGAGUGAUAUAGAUUAGAUGAUACAUUAGAAGAUAAUCCUAUUUUUGCACAAGAUACUAUGGAUCUAGCGGGUAAAAGACAUACCAUUCCUACGAUUUCUAGUACACUAGUACCUCAUCAUAGUGGGACGUCUAUAUACCAUAAAUUAUGAUGAAACAAUGAGUAAUGUUUAUGUUUACUUAAGGCAAGGAGCUAUAAAGAGGUAGUUAGAAUCUUUGUAUUAUACCAUAUUCUAGGUUCUUGUUGAAACAUCUAAAAAGAUAAAACACAUAAUUGUAAGUUGGUCUACAAGGGGAACACAAGAAUAAAUGGAAAGCUUGAGUUUUAUGUGUCUAAGACUAUAGCUAAAAGUUAUAGUUUGAAACUUUGUUUCAAUUAUAAAAAACCUUUUCAAAAAUGGUCAUACUCGAAUCCAUCUGAUUAUUCAUAUCUAUUGCAAUGUCUUAUUUAUGAGACAUAUCAUCCAAACAUUUUCAUAGCAAUGGGCCUUGUAUGUACAAGAAGGCACAUGGAAGCGUGGUAAUGCUCUAAGUUCUUGUAGGUAGAUGAUAAUUUACUCAUUGGAUAUGAUGUAGGGAUAUUGUCAUCAAUCAAGAUCUAAUUGUUUGCUUAGUUCUAGAUAAAAAUCUAGAGGAAGACAUAAUAUAUUCUUAGGGUUAAGAUCCUUUAGGAUUGCAAGAAUAGGAAAAUUGUGCCAUGUCACCUACAUUGAUGAGCAUUUGGUCAAGUACAUGAUGCAAAACUCUAAGAAGGGUUUGUUACUCUUUAGGUUUAGAGUUGUCUUUCUCAAAAUCAAUGCCCUUGGACAUAUGUGGAGAGAGAUUGUGUUAAAGCGAUAUCCUAUGCAUAUGCAAUGGAUAGCCUUAUGUAUGUAAUUCUAUGCAUUAGACCAGGUAUUUGCUUUGUUAUAAGAAUAAUGAGUGGAUUAGUCCUUUUCCUGAUUAGAGUUUUGGGCGGAUGUCAAACAUAUACUCAAGUAUCUUUAGAGAACAAGAGAUUAUAUGUUUGUGUGUCUUUGAGAUGAAUUAACAAUCCUUUUGUAUCGGGAAAUUGGACUUUUAGUCUGAUAAAGACCCCUACAUGUAGGUCUACCUCUGGGUAUGUGUACACUCUAAGUGGUUUUUGUUGCUCUAUAGCAACAAAGUAAGCUCUUUGGCUUAUGGGUAGUUUUCCUUAGCUAUAUCGUCUAAGAUCUUGUUAUGUGAUAAUAGUGGGGUGGUGGCAUGGUCUAAAGAACAAAACUACCACUAGAAGAGGAAAUGCAUAAAAAGGAAGUGUUACCUAAUUAUGAGGUAGCAUAGGGAGGGUGAUGUGAUUGUGGAGUAGAAUCUUUCUAAGGUGUCCAAUCUGCUUUUGGGGCUAGUAGGACUUUGUUGGGAUUGAGCCCUUAAAAGUAAGACAUGAUGUAACAAAGUUAGACUUAAUUUUCCUACAUUGAUUUGGACAUUCAACCCAUGUCUCUUACAUUGUACAUGACUUGGGUGCAUUAGGAGUUGUAUAGAAGAUGCAAGUUAUGAGUUCCUUAUAAGUAUACAAGUUCUUCACAGUUGGUUCAUAGAUUUGGGCAAUCUAGUAGAGACUAUAGUAUACCACUUGCUAAUUGGAGGAAUGACUUAUCUUAGUUGUUGGGAUGAGUUUUCAUAGUCCCCUCAUUUUGCCCUUAACCCAUAUGGGUUAUAUCCUAGUAAAUUAUUGUAAUUUAUUGACUUGUAGUUUCUGGUUCUUCCUCAGGAGCUUUUUGGAGGACAAUUAUGGAAAUUUGAUGUGAUCGCAUAAACUUCUGAUUUUUUUAGUUUAGAAUUCUUGUUGCUUGAACUUAUUAUUUCUUUUAAGUAUAAUUAGAAUUGUAAAAAAGAAACUUUAUUUUUAGAAGGAAAAUUCAUGAUUUAAAUUAAUUAAUAAUUGAUUUCAUUUUCUUUAAAAAUAUGAAAUACAAUAAGGGUUUGAUGGUGAAUUGGGAUAAGAAUGAUUUAAUGUGAUUCAAGUAUUUUGUUAACAUUAUCUUAUAAAUUAUAAAAAUCGAGAUAUUAAUUAAAAUUAUUCAAUGAGUAAAUUGAAAGCUAAUAUGUUAGGGUUACUAAAUAUAUAUUUUAAGGUUUUCUUUUAUGAUAAAAUAUAUAUAUUUUUUCUUUUUAAUAUUUUAUGAACCAUAAAUUGAAAUAAAAAUUUGAGUUUAUUAAUAUACCAAAAUAAUUGUCCUUCUAAUACCCCAUGAACCAAAAGCAAAAUUAAAAUUUGAAGUUUAUUACAACUACCUAAUUCAUGUUUUGAAAUAUAAAAUAGAAUGAGUCAUUUCUUUUAAUAAUGGACUUGCUAAACCAAUAUUCUUUUUUAAUAUCCCAUGAACCAUGAAUAAAAAUAGAAUAUUUAGGACAUUACCAACCAUUAAAAGGCACUCCUUAAAACAUGAAAUGAAUUAGUCUUUCAAUUAAUAACAAUUAUACAAUUUAUAUCCUUUCAUAAAAUAUUUUUAAACAUUUACAUGGCUUAAAAUGCACCCUCUUCGUAACUCAAACAUGUUAUAACCGAUCACCAUAUCAUCCUACCCAUUACCAGCUAUACACCUAAACCUUCUAACCUAUACCAAACCAUAAACCUAGUUCUGUGUAACUGCAACCAACCAUCCCAUCCCAUCCCCCUACAAUAGCCCAUUCUUUUGGCUACUUAAGACCUACCUUCAUCACCCCCUGUAACAACCUUCUUUGGAGUUUAAGUCCGAAAUAAUCCAUUGAUAGAAAAAAAUGGUAAGAAUAGUACCCAUCUCAAUAUUUGUCAAAGUAAUCUUUUGUAUUCAUGUAAGUAUCCACAUGAAUUUUUUUUAGAGUGUAAAAAACCACCGUUGGUGACCGUGGUUUUAAAAGUUUCAAAAAUAUCUUUAAAACCACAGUCACAAACUGUGAUUUUACAAUUUUCCUUAGAACCACGGUUAGUAACUGUGAUUUCAAAAUUAUUUUUAAUCUGCCCCGUUUUAAUGGUAUUGCGAUUUUAUUAUUAUUUAUCAUAAUAACCAUAAAAUCACAGUUAGUAAUUGAGGUUUUAAAAAUAUCCUAAAAACCAUAGUCAUAGAUUGUGGUUUUACAAUUUUCUUUAAAACCAUAGUCACAGACUGUGGUUUUAUAAAUUUCUUUAAAACCACUGUUACUAACUGUGGUUUCACAAACAUCUUUAAGGGAAACUCAUGUAACCAUACAUCAACUAAAAAAAUAUAUAUGAGAUUUUAGAAUUUUAAUGUUUGAUUUAAAAUUUUAGUGUAAAUUAUGGAUAUACCAAAAUUUUUUAACGAUGUACCAAAUUUCCUCAAAGUUCGUUUCGGAGUGGGGAAAAUUUCUUACAAUUUUCUAUUGUUAGUUUAAAAUAACUUUUUUUACAAAUUAUCCUUAAUAAAUUUUUUCUUUACCACUGUUUUGAAAUUAUAUAUAUAUAUUAUCUUUAUUUUUUCAUAUUUUCCUUGAAAUUUAGAGAAAAUGAUUUCGCCUACAUACAUUCCCUGGUAAAUAAAAUAUUUAUUUUUUUUAUGAAUUUUAUCACGUAUGAAUUAAAGAAAAUUAUUUUUUCAUAUUAUUUUAAAAUUUUAAAAUAACUAAACAAAUUGUUUAUAUUAUUUUAAAAUUUCAUAUUUUCAUAUAAAAUAUAAUGCUAAUGAUUAUGAUUUUAGGUUAUUCCUUUCUAAUGGUGGUUUUAUGGUUAUUAUGAUAAAAAAAAUAUUUUAUAAAUAAUAUUAAAAUCACAAUACUAUUAAAACAGAACGGAUUAAAAAUAAUUUUGAAACCAUAGUUACAAACUGUAGUUCUAAGGAAAAUUGUAAAACCACAGUUUGUGAUUGUGGUUUUAAGGAUAUUUCUGAAACUUUUAAAAUCACAGUCACCAACAGUAGUUUUUCACACUUAAAAAAAAAAAAAUCUAUGGGGAUGUUUAUGUGGAUACAAAAGACUACUUUGACAAAUAUCUUGAGAUGAGUAUUAUUCUUACCAUUUUUUUUUUUUGCUGCCAAUAGAUUAUUUUGGACUUCAACUCCAUUCUUUGGACCUACCAUCAUCACCUUCACUUGCUGUCACUUCUUUUCAUAAUAGCCCAUAACUCUAGCAUCCUACCUCUAAGCUACAUUGCAUGGAGCUGUGAACCAAUCGCUCUUAUGGUCCUCUCCUCCGUCAAUGCUUCAUUUCAAAGCUGUCAUGCCUACAAAUGACCAAAGACCAACCAUCCUUCCACAUUUCUAUCACCCAUAUCCACUUUCUUCUCUUCCAAACCAAGCACCACACCGAGCAUGACACCUCCACUUUAGCUUCAUCUUCUUCUCUCCCAAACUGUGCACCACAUCUCCACUAGAGCUUCAUCUUCGUUUUCUCCAAACUGAAAACCACUUGCCCUACAACUCCCUUUUUUCGCUCCCAAACUGAGCACUAUCUCGUCUUCAUUCUCACUUGUGUUGAGCAUUGAUCAGUGAAGGUUUGACAUGUUGCUAGUUUGUCUUUAGAAAAUAACCAUUGGAGCUGCAUUCAAUCCCAUUUACUUCACAUGUGUCUUGCAAGAGCUGUCUUCAAUUUCAGAGUUGCUGUUUCAGUCUCGAGCGCCUUUCUCGACACUGCCGAUGAUAGCCAGCACACCAUACUCUUUGACCUUUCUCGCGAAGUGAUCGAUGACACCAUUCGUGAGAAUUCUGAUCUUAUCAACAUCUUUCUUCAGAGGGGCUUGAGAUAUGUUUGCAGGAAGUUUGAUUCAAAACUUGCAUUCAUGGCUUUGAAAGCUCCAUUUCUAGUUCGAUAACCCUCGGUAUAGUUGGAAAGGUGAAACACUUUGGUGCUGGUUUUCUUCCUUGAAGCGUUGAUGUAGCGCACCUAGUUGAUCUUACAGGCCCUACAUGGUCAUGUUCACUAUAUCUAUUUUAUUUUAAUUUUAUUUAUUUAUUUAUAUUAUUAUUAUUAUUGUUUUGGAUUUUUAGUCUCUUUGUGUUUUUGAGCUUGUAUUUUAAAUUUUGAGACAGUAAGAUGGGUAGAAUUGUUAGUUUCAUAUAAGGCCUGUUUGGCUGAGAAUAUAGGAGACCGAUUUUGAGAGUCAUGCUGAUAGCAUUGGGUUGGGGGAGUGAGGUCAUGUGAAAACAGAGUUCUUUGGAUGUUUCCAGAGGUGAUAUAAAAGCGAGGGAACCGCCUCUGUUAGAGAGUUAGAGAGAGAUCUUUGGCUGUCAUAUUUUUCAUAUUUGUUGAGAGAAACACUAGAGAGAGGGAAAAGAAAGGGCUAGGGUUGAGAGAGAUCUUUGGGAAGAGUGUUUUGACAGGGGUUAGAGUGCAAUAGAGCUUUCAAUUGUUUGAUUUUGUACGCUUCGUCUUCCUUUUAGGUUCCAUUUUCUCUAAUUAUUUUGUGUAUUCGUGAAAAUCAAGCUUGUGAUUCUCUGGUUUUGUACUUAUUUAUUUAUUUAUUUAUUAUUAUUUGGAUCAAAUCAUUUUAGAACUGAUGAUUGUAUUUCGUUCUUCUAUUGUUGAUAUGUGUUUGGUUAUCUUGGAAUUUUGGAAUGAAUUUCUAUGGUCUCUACAUUUUAUACCUUGAUUUAGAUCAUUUUUUAUUUUUAAACCCUAGGUCAUUACUUCUAGUAAUUCCUUAUUAAUUUGUAGCAGAUUUGUUUCAAGGCUUUUUUUUUUUUAUUAUUAUAGUUUGUUUAUCUUUUUUUUUUUUUUUUUUUUUUUGCGUCCUUUGCUUUCUCUAUGGAUGUUUGGUUUAUCUGUUGCAAUCAUAAAUUGACGUUCCUUGUAGAUUUUUGUUUAAGAAAUUUUGAAUAUAUAGGUUAUCGCAUGAUUAGAUAUUCAUUGUUUUAGGUGCCAAUUAUUAAAAGUUGAUGUAAUCACUUUCAAAAUUUUGGAUCUAGACUUUUCCUCUAUUUUCUUUGUUGGUAUUUGGUUUGUUUUGUUGUAAUCAUAAAUUGAUGUUCCUUCUGGAUCUCUGUUUAAUAAAUUCUAAGUAGGUUAUCACAUGAUAAGAGAUUCUUUAUUUUAAAUAUCAAUUACUAAAAGUUAAUGUAAUUGUUUUCAAGUUUUUAGAUCUAAGUUUUUCAUUUAGGAGUUGUUAAUUGAAUAUUAGUUUUUAUCAUUUUAUGUACUUGAUUAGCAAUUUACUUGGAACUUCCAUGAAUCUAAUUUAAUUCAAUAUACUAAGAUUUUUAACUCUAUGAAUUUAAGUGAACUUGGUAAAUCCAAAUCCUUAUUUUAUAAUUUUUCUCAAAUCCUUAUUAAUUAUAAUGAUUCAAAAGGAAAUUUUCUGGAAUUUAAAAUUGUUUUUUUUUAUAAUCCUUGUUUGGAUAACACUCUGACUGAAUUAUUGCAUAAGUAGAAGUUCAACUUCUCUUUUAAUCUUAAUUGUUAUAGGUUGAUCCAAAUAUUUUAGAAAAUUCAAAAUCUAGAUUCUUUGUUUUAUUGUAUUAUGUUAAUUUGAUUAUUGUAUGUGGUUAAUUGGUGACUCGAAAUUUCUAUGUUGAUUCAAAAUAUUUAGAUUCUAGUUCUAUGAGAUUAAAAGAAAUGAGUCACUCUAAAGUCUUCUUUUCAUAUUCUUUUUUUUUUUUCCCAAAUAUCCAUCAAAUCAUCAUUACUCAAAUGAUUUUUUUUUUUUUUAUUUAAGAAAAAAGUCCUUGAACUAUUAUUUUCUUUAAAUCUUUGUUUAAUAUAAUUUCAUCAAAUCAUCAUGUAAUUAGUGAUUCGUUUUCUUUAAAAUCUCAACUAUUACAAAUGGAUUAGAAUAGUAUUGAUAAAUCAUUGUUAACUGGAUUAUUUUAUGCAAUCGGUUUGUCAUUUCCUUAGAACAUAAAUGACUUCAUAUUGAUUAAAUAUAAUCAGAUUGAAUUUUUUGUGAUUUUAAAUGAUUUUUAAUUAUUUUUAAACUUUCAUUUGUAAUCAUUCUUCAUUUUCUACCAAUUUAUGAUACCUUGAUCUGAUUUGAAAGUAUGAUGAAAUCUAUUGAUGAUUUGGUUUAGCUUUGUUCGUUCAAAAAUCUUAAUCCAUAUUUAAAAAAAAAAAACUUAAUUAACAUUCAAGUAAUAGACAAUGUUAAUAUAUAUUGAUUUGUUCAAAUUUGCAUAUUUUAGGAGUUUGUACAAGGGAAAUCAAAAAUUGCACUUAUUAAUUGAAUUUAAUCAAACACUUGAAAUAAUAUCUUCUUGAUUUACAUUGCUUUUGAGUUAAUAUGAUGAGAUUUAAAAUCUAGGUAAUGAUGUUUUGAGUUUAUUGACUUUGUUCUGGUAUGCUUUGGUAUGCCUUGUUUCGAGAACUUGAUUGAUGACGUUUCACAAAUAUCCAUUGAUUGAUGAUGAUUAAUUUUUCUUGAGAAUUUAAAUUUGUCUAUUCUUUAUAUUUUUAUUUUUCAAAUUUAAAAUCCUUCUAGACAUUGUCGGGAUUGGUUGGAUUGGUUUUAGAUUUCAUCAAUUAUGUGAAAUUGAAUGAAUGAUUUAAUGUGAACCAUGUACUCUAAAAGUGAUUGAAUGUUAUAUUUAAAAUUCUUGUUCAUAAUGUAACUUUUUUUUUUUUUUCAAUUGUAUCUUGGGAUAUCAAUAACGAUCAAAUUCUAUUUUUUAAAUGUUUGCAUGGUUAUUAUUAUUUUCACCUGUAAUUUUAUGUGAUGGAUUCUGGUGAUAUUGAGAUAGACUUUUGGACUAAUAUAGAAAUAGUUGAAUAGAUGAGAAACAAAUGAAUGAACAAUAUUUCUAGGAAGUAAGGAUGGAUGCAAAAAAAAGUUGAGGAAGGUUAGGAUAUCUAGAUCUUAUAGUUUAAGUAAGAAAAGGAAAUAACAAGAACAAUUUUAAUUAAUUGAUUAUAUAAUAUCGUAAACCAAUAUUUUAAUGCAAGUGAUUGUAGGUGAUUGAUCUAGAUAACUACCAGAUUACUAUUUUACAUGGACAUAAGAAAGAACAAAAUAUCAAUGUAUAGCUUUCGAUCAUCAUAAUACAAACUUAUUGAAUUUUAUUAACUUUAAAAUCUAAUUGUGAAAAUAUGAAUUCUGUUUUUUUUUUUAAAGCCCUUGGACAAAUUGCAUGACAAUGGGCUUUAGAAUAAAACUCUCUAUUUAGAAAAACUUGAUUUCCCAGUUUCUUAUGAGACAUAAAAUGUCCCUAAAUGUUUUACAAGAAUUCUCCCACCCUUGUUUUCUUUAAUCAUUGAACUUUAAAAUAACAUUUUAUAUAUGUUAAAUAAUCUAUUUUUUUAAAAUCAAUUUUCAACUUUUUUUUAUAAUCAUUUAGUUUUACUUUUAAAAUAAUCUAGUUCUCUUAGGCCAAUAAACUUCUAUUUUCUGAAAAUGAAUGCUACCUAAUUUCAUUCGAUAAGCAUGUUUUAAAAAUAAUAUACACACAUUGAAUUUCAUGACUCGAAUUAAUGGAGACUUAUGGAUAAAUUCAUGGAAAUUGAAAUGGGACUUAACAAAUCCCAAAUAUCAAAUGAUUUUAAAGAAACAAAUUUAGUUUUUCCAUAGUUGUGAAAGGCGUGCCUAGGCUCUAGGCGGUGCGACGCCACCCUUUGGCACCUCACCUAAAGGUACGUGACGCCUCUUCAUGAAGGCAUCACUUAGGUGCGCGCCUCCGGCAAGGCACGACGCAUUCCCUAGGUACGCCUCGAUCCCUUACCUCAUUUUUCUCCUCCUUCUCUUCUUUUUCGACGUCGUCGUGUCGGAUUGUAGAGGGUAGAGAAGCCCUUUUUUUUUUUUAUUGAUUUUUUGGGACCAAAAUGAUGGCGUUUUGGCCAUUUUUAUUUUAAAAGGAACAUGCCAAAAUGAUGUCAUUUUGGAGCUUGUUCCUUUAAAAAAAAAAAGGCCAAAACGAUGCCGUUUUGGUCCUUUUUUCCCCUUACAACCGCCUUUUCUAGUUGUUUUCAACCCGACACCACUCCUAAAUCUUGCCCUAGCCUAAGCCGUGUAGUCGAGAAGUGAAGAAGAUGAAGAAGAGGAGGAAAAAUAGGAGAAAAAUAGAGGAAAAAUAGUCAUAUACCUUUCCGGGACCUCGGUAUUUUUCUUUUUUCUUCACUUUUUUUGCAUUUUUAUCCAUUCUUGUCUCAUAACUCUCAUUGACAUUUAAAAAAAAAUAUAUAAAUAUUGUAUUUUGACAUGAAAAUUUUACUAAAUAAAAAUAAACAAACAAAAAACACUCAUUUGCAUAUUUUUUUUUUUAAUGUGACAUGCAUAUUUUUUUCAAUUUUUUUCUUAAUUUAAUUAUAAUUAUUUUAUUGUAGUAUAGAUAAUUUGUUUGCAAGAUGCAUAAUGAGAGUGAAACUCAAGUGGACUCUAGUGCAAGUGGAAGAAGAGAUCCC
rnacentral:lncRNA from 1 species